rnacentral:rRNA from 1 species
AUGCAUUCCGUUCGAGGGGCUGGUCGGGUUGGCGCGGGAUCUGAGCCACCGUCGAUGGAUUUCUCGCAGCUUGGCUCCUGUUGCUUUGGAUCCGGGCGAGGAGCCGCCGCCAUGUUUCUCCCCGAGCUCUGUGGUGGAAUGGUCUAUUUGUAUCAGAUUGUGUUUAGUGGAUGCGAAGAGCUCAGUUCUGGUAAGCUAGACCCUGAGGCGUGCAGCAGGUAUGUGGAGAUUAAGGAGCGUGCCCAUGUGAGCGGCUUCGAUUUUGUUGUGCCAAGAUCUCCGGUGGCAGGGAUUCACUUCUUUUUUUGGUGA